AAAACUGUCAGAUCAAUAAUCUUUCAUUAGGGGCCUUAGUAAACUUUACGGGUGAUAUUGAUUAUGUUAAGAUGCAUCGGUUAGUAUAUGAAAAACUUUUUUCCUUCCACUUGUUUGCUUAGUAUCUGUUUAGUUGCAUGGCAUAACAUAAUCCCAGAUUUUUAGUAUGUUGAAUUCAAGGCCAAUAAUGACAUAAAUUUUUGAUAGAUUUUUGAACUUGGUUGAUAACUUUAGCUUAGUUAUAAUGUUAUACAUGAUGUGAUCCAUGCUUGUUGUUUUGAUGUUAUCGGGUAGCACGACAAUGUUCCUAUUUGUUAGUUGGCUAAGAUUAGCAUGCUUGUCUUCUGAGAGGAUAACGUUGUUUUUAAUGAUAGAAUUGUGUAGAAAGUAAUUAAUGACUAUAAAACACAGAAACUCAAGUUUUGGGAACGUAUUGGGUAUACUUGUUAUCUCUUAAAAAAAGGAGAAAAAAAUUGAAUAAACACCGUGGCUAGUCUUGUUUCGGGGCCUUUGCUACUUGAGUAAAUACACCCGAGGGGAUUGUCUCUACACCUAGCGCCCUAAAGCCCGAAUGAUUUGGAAGUCGUUGGUUGAAAGCUCGCUAAGUGGUAGCACUGUUUAGCCUAAUGGAAUGAGACAUUGCACAGCCAUGGAAAAUAUAAAAAAAAAUUAAUAAACACCGCGGGAAAGUGCGAAAAUCUCCCUCGUGAGUAAAAUAAAGCAAAAUAAACCCUUUGUUGAACCUUAGCUUGUACUGAUGUGUUGGAGUAGUUGUUGCUUCAUUUAUGUGCAUAGUUCUUGAUUUGAAACCUCAGUUUUCUUUCUUAAGAAGUAUAGCAUGUGGAAUCUUCACCUUUGUCAAGCUUAUCUGUGAAUACAACACACACACACAACAUUUUUAUUAUCCAAUUGUAUGUCAUUAUGCCUUUAGCUUAGUUUGAUGCUUUGUUCAUAGAUCUUGAUAUUUCUUUGAGGCAUAUCUUAUUGGAAUUCUUGAUAUGACUAAAAGUCUUGAGAUUCAUUUGCAUGAUAGUAUAAUUGCAUAACAUGUAGUUUGCAUUUGUGUUUAUUGCUUGAGGGCAAACAAUAGUUCAAGUUUGGGGGUAUUUGAUAAGUAGGUUUUAGACCUACUUAUUGGUUAUCAACUUGCUAGAAUUAUGCUUAAACUUAAGUAUUUUUAUGUUUGAUUGUUUUUUAUGUUUGUUUUGUAGGUUGCAUUAAGAAAACUAAUACGGCAUGGCAAAGGCAUGGAAAUGGCAUGGAAGUAGCAAAGCAUGGUGAACUUGUGCUGGAACGAGGAAUGAAGCUGAGCAAGUGCAUGUGAGGAGGGCAUCUGAGCGAGUCAAGUGAAGAUUUGAGAAGUCAAGUGAAGGCAAAUGAAGUUGAAGACCAGUAGCAAUGUAGCAGCAAAACACCAAUAAUAGUGCAACAGAUUGCAAGAAUUAGCAGUCGCGCGAUAGCGCCAUAGCGUAGGGCAAUGUUAGCGCGCUCGCGCCAGGAACAUUCCAAAAUUCAACAUGGCGCGCCCACGCCCCAAAUGCUAUACGGGGUCGCACGGUCGCGCCAGUCAAGGCUAUUAAAAAGUUGACUUUUCAUUUUAAGUUUGUUGUAGCGAGAUUACUAGAAAGGGGUGUAUUUUCUAGUUACAAGAGAUCAUUAUUAUCAGUUAUAUUUUCCAUUUUUAGGGUUUCAUAGAGCAAGAGAGAUUCCAUAGCUUUCUACUACUAUUUUGCUUCUCUCUUUAGAUCUAGUAGCUUUUGAAUAUAGAAGUUUAAUUUGGUUUUGAUUAUGGAUCUGAACUGAGUUGGAAGCUUGCAUUGGACAGAGUUUAAAUCAUA
rnacentral:lncRNA from 1 species